AUUGAACGCUGGCGGCAGGCCUAACACAUGCAAGUCGAGCGGAUGAAGGGAGCUUGCUCCUGGAUUCAGCGGCGGACGGGUGAGUAAUGCCUUGGAAUCUGCCUGGUAGUGGGGGAUAACGUCCGGAAACGGGCGCUAAUACCGCAUACGUCCUGAGGGAGAAAGUGGGGGAUCUUCGGACCUCACGCUAUCAGAUGAGCCUAGGUCGGAUUAGCUAGUUGGUGGGGUAAAGGCCUACCAAGGCGACGAUCCGUAACUGGUCUGAGAGGAUGAUCAGUCACACUGGAACUGAGACACGGUCCAGACUCCUACGGGAGGCAGCAGUGGGGAAUAUUGGACAAUGGGCGAAAGCCUGAUCCAGCCAUGCCGCGUGUGUGAAGAAGGUCUUCGGAUUGUAAAGCACUUUAAGUUGGGAGGAGGGGCAGUAAGUUAAUACCUUGCUGUUUUGACGUUACCAACAGAAUAAGCACCGGCUAACUUCGUG
rnacentral:rRNA from 1 species